rnacentral:lncRNA from 1 species
CUCUCCAGGUCUGUUUUUCCUCAUCUUCAUAACAAGAAUAAGACUUUCCCAACAGUGCAAGCAUGGAUGGUCAAGUUCAUGAUCAGCUGAAAUAUUUGUGUGCCUCGAGAGGAAGUGAUGGUGACGUGUGCUGUAUUUCCAUUUUCAUGAUCUGCUCACUACUUCUGACAUAGGAGUUGAAAAUUGUCACUGGAAGAUUAUUUCUGAACUCGGUCAACUAAAGGGUUAAGAUCCUCUCCUGACAUUCAAGAAGAAGGUGGUCCUGUUGCUUUCUCAUAAGCUGCGAGAUGUGGAUGCUUCUCUUCUAGCAAGCAAAAACCUGUCCUUCACUUCCACGGAGCUAACCGAACAAAGAUCUCUCCACUUCCCGUUUCAACCUUCCCACCCAACAUUUGAUUCACCAGAUGACUUCUCCUACAGAAGUACCCCACCGUUCUAUCAAAGCUCAAAAGCAGAGUAACAGAAAUCAGCAUUUGUUUCCCUGAAGAAAUGUCUUCUGGGCCAGCUCUUCAUCCAGCUUUCUGCAUUCUGUUCUAAAAUGAGAAAUACUUUCUAAUCAGACACAAGUGGAAGCUGGUGUUCUUCACUGAUACUCCUUCUUCAUUUUAGGAAGGUUAAGUACUUCACUGUGUUGUAUUGGAAUUCCCAGUGGAUAAAGUGUCUGCAUGCGUUGCUAUGUCAGGCUGUCCUGACAUGUAUGAAAAGUUGCAGCAAAGUUGCAGCAGGAAAACCAGAACGUAUUUUCUGUUCUGACAUGAUGAAGGAACUUACCAAACAACUGGGGACAUCCCAUACAGUUGUUUUUAGAUCAAGAGAAGAUGGCUGCUGGAUAGCUAACAUCAGAAGGCCUGACCUUGAGACUCACUUUCUAAGUGGUUGGUAUUCCUUUAUAAAGGGAACCCAUCUCUCCCAAGCCAGACUGGCCCUGGCUGCACUUAAAGCUAGAACACAUCUCUCAAGAUGCCUCACGAGAGAAGAUUAGGUUCUACACUAGAAUAAGCAAAAUUAGUAUUUACUGAUUAAUUGUAGAGUAAGAGGAAUUUGAAUCUAGGACAGGCUCUGGGAUCAAACGCCAGGUCUUUCAGGAAUAAAAAGUUCAUAAGCAUCA